rnacentral:sRNA from 1 species
UACAAUAGAAUCGGCUCCUCAAGGGUGGUCGCGGCUCAUCUCCCAUGUCGGAAACAGGGGGAGGUGAGAUCCAUGGCAAUAACGUACGAAGCACUAUCCCUCAUGAUUCAGUUUGGCGGCUUCAUCGUCGGCCUGCUGGGUCUUGUCGUGACGAUCGUCGUUGCCUUGACUCAAAAAAAGAAGUAGAUCACCCUUGAGCCUGGCAGCUUGGUGAUCUACUCUCUUCUGCAGUAGAGCCGCCCCCUUGUGGGGAACGUCUAUUGUGCAGGGCCGGAGCGCGGCAACGCUCUUG